ACUCUAGUCUGACUUUGUGAAAUAACUUGAGAGGUGUCGGAUAAGUGGGAGCUCUCGGGCGAAACUGAAAUACCACUACUGUUAACGUUAUUUUACUUAUUCCGUGAAUCGAAGGUGGGGCACGACCCCUCUUGUUGGACCGAAGCCAGUCGAUCCGGGUGGAACACAUUGUCAGGUGGGGAGU
rfam:Gossypium raimondii Chr08_contig_435, whole genome shotgun sequence.